rfam:Ovis aries breed Texel chromosome 2, whole genome shotgun sequence.
UGGCUCAGAGGUUAAAGCAUCUGCCUGCAAUGCGGGAGACCCAGGUUCGAUCCCUGG